UACAGAGGGGGCAAGCGUUGUUCGGAAUUAUUGGGCGUAAAGAGCUCGUAGGCGGUGUGUCGCGUCGGCCGUGAAAACCUGCAGCUUAACUGUGGGCUUGCGGUCGAUACGGGCAUCACUGGAGUUCGGCAGGGGAGACUGGAAUUCCUGGUGUAGCGGUGAAAUGCGCAGAUAUCAGGAGGAACACCGGCGGCGAAGGCGGGUCCCUGCCGUA
rnacentral:rRNA from 1 species